UGUUAUUCAAAAUGCUGGAGUGCUUGCGUGAGACGUGUCAUGUCGGGCCUCAUUUCUGUGUGUGUUUCUGUGUGUGGUGCGUGCAGGCUGACCCAGGAUACGCAGAACGUCUACAUCACGCCAGCGGAUCGUGGGCCAACAACAGUUUAUCUGCCCAGCCCUGCAGAGAGAACAAUUCUCCUCGCACAAACUCUUUGGGUCAUGCAAGAAGGGAGUUCCCAUCUCCUCAGCGGGUCACGUCGGCUCCGUCCAAAAGAGAACGCAUCUCCUACCGAGACAACCUGGUGCAGAUGAGCGGCGGCUGGGGAGGGGGCAAGAAGAAGAGGGACAAAGUGUGCAAGUAAAACACAAACUCUUCCACCACCACGUCACUCACCCAACACCCAGAGAAAGUAAAGCAGAUAGAUUUGAUAUCUGUCCCUCCUGCGGGUGCACAUCCCUACAAAGAAUGCAGCGUCUGAUCAUUUCCUAACAUGUAGUGACCCAAUAGAUUACCCCCCCCCCCCGAAGCUAUUCUUUUUAAACUCAGCUGAAAACUCGAGCUCCCUGCCCUGAAACUGAAUUAAGAGCAAUAGGACCUGAACCAGCCCAAAUAUCUUCAGGCACUUUCAUUGUGUUGACUCAGCUCAAGUAUCGCCGAUCGCAGCCGAGCAGCAACAAAACACAUGGAAGCAAACGGCACGCUUAGUAUGCAAAUGAUGGCAGGAAACAAGAACCAGGACCUUUUUAAUACCCGUGGAUUCAUGUUUCUUUGUGUGCUGAUGUACCCUCUCCACAAACAAUAUCGUGAUUAUAGUUUAGUAAAGUUUAUUAAAGCCCAGAGGUUUAAGAGGUGGCUAUAUUUAGCUCCUGCUUGCCAACCACUGUUGAAAUGACUGCUCUUAUGAGUGCAAACAUUGGUGUUAGAAUUAGAAGGAUGUUUUCUUUAUUUUAAGUCGUGGAUGAUAAUGGCCUUGUCCGUCCGCAAACACUGGUCCACCGGAGGCGGUGAACCUCGAGGGCUCUGAGGUUCCUUCGCUGUCCGCCGCCUGGAAACGAUAACUUAAUGAAUGUCAAAACAAAUAGUCCGAGCUGCAGAGUGGCUCCCUGGCAGGAAAUGCACGUCUGUGUUAUUUAUUUUCCUCCUAAACUUCACUUGCACAUGUCUGGAGGGUGUGUUUUGACUGUACAAGAGCUGAUAGGGAUUGUCGUCUUAGAGUGGCGUAUGCCAGAGAUGUGGCGGUGCUGCCCACUGCGGGGAUGUUGUGAAACCCAAGAGCACCGUCCUCCUUCAGGGGGAGACUCUUCAGGCUCUCCGGGGGGACAUCCAGGGCCGUAUCUGUCAUCAAUCUGUCACUACACGACUCUGAUGCGGGAGAAUUAAGAUGUGUAUUGCACAUACAACAUGGAAACACAGGGCGUAUACAAGAACUGCAUGUGUCUCGUCACCGGUGUUGUUUUGUGUGACAAAAGUUUCCCAGACUUCUCUGCAACUGCCGCUUCUGGAAAGAUAUUGUUAAACCGUCGUCCACCAGUCUUCAUUAGUUCUGUUUACUUUUUGGUUAUGGGUAAAUUACAUGUAACCCAAGACAUCCAAAAUCCAUUGCGUGGUGAAAUGAGCGCUCCACCGCACAUUUAGAUAAGAUGAAGAAUGUCCCUCUCAGCCCCGACUGCCCUGCCAGCCUGACCUCAAGUCAGCAAACGUUGUCAGAUUGAGUCUGCCAGAGAGAGCUUUUACAUCCAAGUGCUUUCUUCAAAUGCAUUAAAGGACCAUGGCCGUUUGUGCUUCCAACUUUUAGCUACGAUUUUUAUACAGUGUGCAAUUUCUUGCUGACCAUUUUGGGAUGCAUGCUGCACUGUUUUUAGAUUUCUGGGCUUUUUCUUUUGUAAACAGCAUUCCAGGUAACUUUGACAAAAUGAAUGCAGACUGACGGCUCGAGCUGGUUUCAAGAUUAGAUUUUUUUAUAUCAUUUAAAUGAAUGGAAGCCAGUCAAAAUAUAAUAACAUUUGUAAAGUACUGUACGACAGUGUGACUCGCUAAGUGAUGUAAAGUAUUAAAAGAGACUGGCAGAACUAACGAGUGAAAUGUGGUUGUUCUGGAGAGUCUGAAGGUUUAUACUUAUUAUGCAAGAGUAAAUCCUAAAAACAUAUUAAUGAAGUCGUUUGAAUUGGUCUGAAAAUACUUCAUUUGUCACAACGUAGAAGACCCUGAACUCAAAUUCAAACACAAUCCCGAUAAAGACGAAUGCACACGAGCGGUCUCUCCUUAAACUCCUCUUUUAAACAAAUUAGCCGGCUCCUUUUAGCCAAAGUAAAGACAUAGGAGUGGAUAUAAACUCUGAGGAAUGUGCAAGCUCUCCUGGAAAUGUGAAACCAAUUUAUAAAGAAGUUGGGAAUAAACUCACACAAGCAGAAAGUAUUCUGUAAAAGUCAAAGAUAAUUUAUUCCCUUCAGCGACAACUGCUGGCUUAUUAUAUCACGCAGAUGAAAAACAGGUCCGAGUCGCUGGUUCACGUGCAGCAAAGCUCCAGAAGAUGACCUCCAGGGUUUGUAAAUGAAUCCCUUUUCAUUUACACAUGUUCGGAAGCUUGUCUCGUAUUUGUUGACAAAGAAGGUGGAAAGUGUCUACAUACAACAUGUGUGUACAGACGUAUACAUGCAUAUUUAUUACAUUGUAAAAUGUCUUCCAUUUACAUUAAGUAAUGUAUGAUGACGUCUGAAUGUGUGUAAUGAGUCUGCUCACGUGAUGUAAUUCAUAUUAUUAGAUUUAUGUUUUGCAUUGAGAGUUUAUGAGCUGGUUUUAUAUCUUUGUGUCGCUGGUGUUUUAAAUGAUUUUCUUUUUGCUGCUGGAUUCAUAAAACUGAUUAUAUGUAACCGUGUGUGACUCUGUAUUGUUUGUAGGUGCUUUACGUGUGUGUGCAUCUCUUUUUUAAUAUUGAAAUGAGAGAAAUUAAAGGUGAAUCCAAGCGAUCACAGAGGCAUAUAAAUGUGUUGGUGUGUGCGGGCUCACCUGGCCUUCUUCAUUGUUUCUGUCCUGAUAUUAAUUCUGCAAAGCACUUUAUUGUUAUUAAAAUGCUCUUCAGUCUCGUGGAACAGCAUCUGGAUUUGGUCUGAGCGACCCUGCUGCCGGGUUAGUUCUGGUUUCAGUCAGAGGUGACUUGUAUAACAAGUCGACAUGAACCCAGAUGACUUAAGUCAAGUGACUGAGAGCUUUGUCAGGGCUCGGGGAUUCCUGACUCCUGGACAAAACAAG
ensembl:lncRNA